rnacentral:sRNA from 1 species
CCUGGGCGUGGUGGUGUACACCUAUAAUCCCAGCUACUUGGGAGGCUAGGCGGGAGGAUCACAAAUUCAAGACCUGCUGGGCAACUUAGUGAGACCCUGUCUCAA